rnacentral:tRNA from 1 species
AGGAUUGUAGUACAAUUGGUCAAAGCACCGCCCUAUCAAGGUGGAAGCCGCGGGUUCAAGCCCCGUCAAUCCCA